GAGUUUGAUCCUGGCUCAGAAUCAACGCUGGCGGCGUGCCUCAGACAUGCAAGUCGAACGCGAAAGUUCCCUUCGGGGGAUGAGUAGAGUGGCGCACGGGUGAGUAACACGUAGGUAAUCUACCUUCGGGUGGGGAAUAACCCAGGGAAACUUGGGCUAACACCGCAUAAUGCAGCGGCACCACAUGGUGACAGUUGUUAAAGCGGGGGAUUUUCGGACCUCGCGCCUGAAGAGGAGCCUGCGGCAGAUUAGCUAGUUGGUAGGGUAACGGCUUACCAAGGCAACGAUCUGUAGCCGGCCUGAGAGGGCGGUCGGCCACACUGACACUGACAUACGGGUCAGACUCCUACGGGAGGCAGCAGUCGGGAAUUUUGGGCAAUGGGCGAAAGCCUGACCCAGCAACGCCGCGUGAAGGAUGAAAUCCUUCGGGAUGUAAACUUCGCAAGAAUGGGAAGAAUUAGUAGGGGCUAAUACCCCCUAUGAUGACGGUACCAUUUGUAAGCUCCGGCUAACUCCGUGCCAGCAGCCGCGGUAAUACGGGGGGAGCAAGCGUUGUUCGGAUUUACUGGGCGUAAAGGGCGCGUAGGCGGUCAGCACAAGUCAGUUGUGAAAUCUCCGGGCUUAACUCGGAAAGGUCAACUGAUACUGUGCGACUAGAGUGCAGAAGGGGCAACUGGAAUUCUCGGUGUAGCGGUGAAAUGCGUAGAUAUCGAGAGGAACACCUGCGGCGAAGGCGGGUUGCUGGGCUGACACUGACGCUGAGGCGCGAAAGCCAGGGGAGCGAACGGGAUUAGAUACCCCGGUAGUCCUGGCCUUAAACGAUGGAUGCUUGGUGUCUGGAGUUUUAUAGUCCCCGGGUGCCGCAGCUAACGCGUUAAGCAUCCCGCCUGGGGAGUACGGUCGCAAGACUGAAACUCAAAGGAAUUGACGGGGACCCGCACAAGCGGUGGAGCAUGUGGUUCAAUUCGACGCAACGCGAAGAACCUUACCAGGGCUUGACAUCCAAUGAACUUUCUAGAGAUAGAUUGGUGCCUUCGGGAACAUUGAGACAGGUGCUGCAUGGCUGUCGUCAGCUCGUGUCGUGAGAUGUUGGGUUAAGUCCCGCAACGAGCGCAACCCUUGUCAUUAGUUGCUACAUUUAGUUGGGCACUCUAAUGAGACUGCCGGUGACAAACCGGAGGAAGGUGGGGAUGACGUCAAGUCCUCAUGGCCCUUAUGGGUAGGGCUUCACACGUAAUACAAUGGCGCGUACAGAGGGUUGCCAAGGAGCGAUCUGGAGCCAAUCCCUAUAAAGCGCGUCGUAGUCCGGAUUGCAGUCUGCAACUCGACUGCAUGAAGUCGGAAUCGCUAGUAAUCGCGGAUCAGCAUGUCGCGGUGAUACGUUCCCGGGUCUUGUACACAC
rnacentral:rRNA from 1 species